rnacentral:lncRNA from 1 species
AAUAAAGAACAAAAGGAAAGAAGAAAAGAAAAAGAGAAAGGCAGAACACUCAGCAGCAAAGAAGCAGAAAGAUGGGCGCUGUGGCGCCCGGUAGGCAAAAACAGAAUACCCAGCGGUGCAGCGCCGGUGAUGGGCGAUGCGGUGCCGGGUCCCGAACCAGGAAGAAAUCAGAUUUUUAAAUAUAUUAUCUCGGCCCAAUUGAUCCCAAACCCAUCUAAAACUCCAUGCCAAUAUAUAUACCAUUGAGAAGACCUAAUUGAGGGAGGAGAACGGGAAGAGAAAACGGAAGGCAGCCGGUAGAACACAUUGGAAAUUCUUGUAGGAGUCAGUCGGCAUCCAAAAAAACCAGAAUCUGAAGAGAAUUUUAGCCGAAAUCAGAGGGAAAUUCUAGACAAAGUAAAUCUGGGAGGCAACAGCAUCAAGAGCUUGAAUUGGAGAGAUUGAGCCGACAACGCAGGAGACAAAUUCAAGUGGACUGCUGGGAAAGCUCAGAAAAGGACAUUAAUUGAGAGGGACCAGCAACCAAUUGGAGAAGAAUUAUAUUCCUUUUCAUCCUAUGUUUAUGCUUUUCAAUUUAUUUUUGUCAGUUCUCUCAAUUUUAAGUCUAGGGAUUGAUGUAAUCUGCUUGAGACAUAU